rnacentral:rRNA from 1 species
UACGUAGGGGGCUAGCGUUGUCCGGAUUUAUUGGGCGUAAAGAGCGUGUAGGCGGUUCAGUAAGUCUGCUGUGAAAGUCCAGGGCUCAACCCUGGGAUGCCGGUGGAUACUGCUGGGCUAGAGUACGGAAGAGGCGAGUGGAAUUCCCGGUGUAGCGGUGAAAUGCGCAGAUAUCGGGAGGAACACCUAUUGCGAAGGCAGCUCGCUGGGACGUUACUGACGCUGAGACGCGAAAGCGUGGGGAGCAAACAGG